rnacentral:rRNA from 1 species
UACAGAGGUCCCAAGCGUUGUUCGGAUUCAUUGGGCGUAAAGGGUGCGUAGGUGGCAUGGUAAGUCGGGUGUGAAAUCCCGGGGCUCAACCCCGGAACUGCACUCGAUACUGCCGUGCUCGAGUACUGGAGGGGAGACUGGAAUUUACGGUGUAGUAGUGAAAUGCGUAGAUAUCGUAAGGAAGACCGGUGGCGAAGGCUAGUCUCUGGACAGUUACUGACACUGAGGCACGAAGGCCAGGGGAGCAAACGGG